rnacentral:ncRNA from 1 species
AUAGGGUUUGAUUUAUGCCUCAAAAAUAGUGUAUCCAUUUAAUUAUAUGAAUAUUAUAAAAUAAAAAAAUUUUCAGUAAAAAAUAUUAAUUUAAUAUUUAAAAAUUUUAUUUAGAAUUUGGGUUAAAACAAUAGAUUAAUAUUGUGCCAGCAGUCGCGGUUAUACAAUUAAUUGUAGUUAUUUAUUUAGGAUUUUAGUUUUUAUAUUUUAUUAAGGAAAAAUAAUUUUAUUUAUUUAGGUGGAAUUUAUAAUUUAUUAAGAAUUUCUUUUUUUAUAACUAAGAAACUUAACAUUUAAACUAGGAUUAGAUACCCUAUUAUUUUAAGCUUAAAUUUUUAUUUCCUGAAUAGUAUUAGUUAUGUUCUUUAAAGCUCAAAGAAUUUGGCGGUUAGAUUUCUAUUUAGAGGAACCUGUAAAUUAAUUGAUACACCACGAUAUUAUUUACUUAAUACAUAUUUGUAUACCGCUAUGUUUAUGAAUGUUUUGAAAGAAUAUUUUCUUUUGUUAAUUUAAGUUUAUUUUAGGUCAAGGUGCAGUUUUUAUUAAGUUUUUAUGGGUUACUUCAAUUAAAAAUAUUUUGGCAUAUUUAAUAAAAAAUUUAAUAUAAAAUAGGAUUUAAUAGUAAAUAAAAUUUAUUAAUUUUUUUGAAUAAAAGAUCUAUCUAAUGUACAUAUCGCCCGUCACUCCUAAUUUAAAUUAGGAUAAGUCGUAACAAAGUAAUUUUACCGGAAGGUGAAGUUAGUUAGUAAAUAAGUAGUAAAUUGUUAUUUAAUU